AAGGGUCCAUUUGCACAAAAACUCACAAAAUGACCAUAAUGGUGAUUAUGUGGAGAAAAUCCCGUCCCUAGGGAAGCAAAAGUCAAAGAGUUAGGAGUAAUAUACUAUUCUUGUCUUUCUUAAUUCUUCUCUCCAAAACAGUUCUUCAACCCUUCUUGGUUUUCACUUUUAUAUACCUGAAGAUAUAUAUAUAUAUAUAGCUGAAAAUUCACAAAAGUCCUUUGUUUCUUCUUUUCUUGAUUGAAUCAAGAACUGACUUUGGGGGUUAUAUAUGGAGAGAAUAAUUGGAGAGAAGUAUAAGUUGGGUAGAAAGAUUGGAAGCGGUUCUUUUGGGGUUAUAUAUCUUGCUACCCACAUUGAAACUUUUGAGAUUGUUGCUGUUAAAAUUGAAAAUAGGCAGACAAGACACCCUCAGUUGCUUUAUGAGGCAAAGCUGUACACUAUACUUCAGGGAGGAAGUGGUAUUCCUAAUAUAAAAUGGCGUGGGGUUGAUGGGAAUGACAGUGUCCUCAUUAUUGACCUGCUUGGUCCCAGUCUUGAAGACCUUGUUGUACACUGUGGGAGGAAAUUUUCACUGAAAACUGUCCUAAUGUUGGCAGAUCAGAUGAUUACGAGAAUAGAGUAUUUGCAUUCAAAAGGAUUUCUGCAUAGAGACAUAAAACCAGAUAACUUCCUCAUGGGUCUUGGCAGGAAGGCAAAUCAGGUCUAUGUUAUUGAUUUUGGACUUGCAAAAAGAUAUCGUGACCCCGUCACAAACCGUCAUAUUCCUUACAGAGAGAACAAGAACCUGACAGGGACAGCAAGGUAUGCCAGUUGCAAUACACAUUUGGGAAUAGAGCAAAGCCGGAGGGAUGAUCUGGAAUCUCUUGGCUAUGUUCUUUUAUAUUUCUUGAGAGGCAGCCUUCCGUGGCAGGGUCUAAAAGCUGAUACAAAGAAGCAAAAAUAUGACAAGAUCCGUGAGAAAAAAGUAUCAACACCAAUUGAGGUUUUAUGCAAAUCUCUUCCGGUGGAGUUUGCUUCAUACUUGCAUUAUUGUCACUCUUUAACAUUUGACCAGCGCCCUGAUUAUGGAUUCCUGAAACGCUUGUUUCGUGACUUAUUUACACGUGAAGGUUAUAAAAUGGAUUAUGUGUUUGAUUGGACCAUCUUGAAAUAUCAGCAGACACAGAGGUCAAAGUCGCAGCUAGAACUACCUAGUCUUCAUCCACUUUCUGUAACGACGGGUACUGGAGCGUUGCCAAAGGUUUUAAAUAAGCAAGCUGAAGCUACAAAACAGAAGAUAUCAGGUAAUUUUGUACGUGGUGAUGCAUCAGCAACCAAUCUGAAACCGGACAAUCGUACUGGAAAAAAUAUAACAAGCGAUGCGUCUAUUCCUUCUACAUCGUUGGCUGAUGCCUUCAAGAGAAGCUUCCCAAAACACGAAGAUUCAAUUGAAGUUGGAAAUGUAGGUCAUGCACAAAGUGGGAAAGCUGGUGCUUCAAGCAGCAAGCUGCAUUUCUUGAGCAGGAUGUCUUCUAGGUGAACUGGGAUCAUAGUAUGUGGGAGAAGUGCCGAAGAAGUCAAGGUCUACUUCGUGAUGUUGAAUUCACUUGAGCCAUGUGUACCAGUAUUCUAUCCAUCUCGAGUUUUAAUAGGUGCUCAAGUUCCUGAAAGCUCAAAUUCGGUAUUAGAGCAUUUCAGACAUCUAUAUGUCAUUCUUGAUGAUGAAGCCUGCCUUUGGUGUUGAAGUUCCAAUGGGGCACCAUCAUGGCUCUUAUAAAAAAUCAACCUUGCCUUUGUUUAUAAUCGUAUACUUGCUGCGGAGAUGAUGGAAUUCUGUAACAUGGAGUCAGAGGUAUUGUGUGAUUGGAGCCAUAGCUUUUCUGCUCCUUUAAUUUUAUCUAUCAUGUCUCAAAAACAAUCUUCAUACUACUACAUGUUGGCCAUUUUCGCUUCAAUAAGGCUUUUCAUGUAUUUAGCUCACAAAUAUCUCCCCCCCCCCCCCCCCCCCCCUCCUCUCUGUAUUUCUCUUUAAAAUAGUAUAUGGGACAAAGAAGUCAGUAGUUUAGGUCAUGUUCUGUCAAGAGGCUAGUUUGUUGAAUUCGCUGAACUUUUUGGCAGAACUCAACUUAAAAUAUACCAAGAGGCCUUCCAUAUGUCUAUGAAACAGAUGAUACUUUCAACUAGUUUGAACCAUGAAGUUUCAAGCUUUUCCAUUAGCUUCAUGUUAUACUAUUUGACAUGUAUCAUACCCGAAGGUUCCUUUCUAUUGGGGUUGGGGGGUUAGUGGGGGUGUAUUUUCAGCUUCAGCUUCAGUACCAGAUGGCGUUCGGAGAUUGAGAAAUUUGGGUGGAAAAGAACACGAGAGUGCUAUUUAGCAAAAGCUACAAGAUGCAAAACUAGGUACAAUAUCGGACAGGUGGUAUGCAUAUAUUUCCGUUUUAUUCUGCAUUGACCUCACAAACACCAAUUUCAGGUUCAAAAUUUUUGUGCUGAAUUUAAAUGAAUAAAACACAAGUUUGUUUAUCUAGUUCCUGAUUUGUGACAGGCUUGAGAACCUAAGCGCAUUGGUUUAUUCAAUGUUCAAGUACUCUUUUACCUGGAAAUACAGUGUAGGUAUUUUUAGUUCAGUGAUAAUGAUAUCACUUAACAUGCCAAAACUAAUCGUCACUCCACCUGUGAUGUGAAUUAAAAGAUCCUACUCUGUAGCUUCCGGUAUGUUGUUUCCUCUAAAACGCGCUAUUGCUAUAAAGGUUACGAUUUAAGCAUUCAAAAUGAAGUUAUUAUGAAAUGUGAAAGACGUUUUUUUCUUCUUCACAAGGUGCUUCUGGUGUGGCAGAUUUGUAGCUGCGUCUUACCACGUACAUACUAUUAAUAAUCGAAAUAAUAAGCAGUUAGCACUCAUUCCUACAAUUGGAAGAAAUUAAUUGGUGUUACAUCUAUCCAAAUGAAUUAUUAAAACUGAUAUGUGGCAUAAAAACUUGUUUAUGCUUAUUUGGGGAGGAAUCAAUUGAUACUUCUAUCAUAUAAGGUAAAGUUAUAGAAACCAAUUCAAGCAGUGAUGUGUACAGGGACAGGCA